rnacentral:rRNA from 1 species
GUGCCAACCACCGCGGUAAUACCGGCAGCCCGAGUGAUGGCCGAUCUUAUUGGGCCUAAAGCGUCCGUAGCUGGCCGCGCAAGUCCAUCGGGAAAUCCACCUGCUCAACAGGUGGGCGUCCGACGGAAACUGCACAGCUUGGGACCGGAAGGCUCGAAGGGUACGUUCGGGGUAGGAGUGAAAUCCCAUAAUCCCGCACGGACCACCGAUGGCGAAAGCACUUCGAGAAAACGGAUCCGACAGUGAGGGACGAAAGCCAGGGUCUCCAACCGGAUUAGAAACCCCGGUAGUCC